GAUAAUUCUCACCUUCGAAAGUACUUUAUGAACCUGGUGAUAAUUAAACAAAAUGAGUUUAAAAAGUUAAAAUUGGAUGAUCUACCUCACGCAAAUAAAUUAAUAUUCAAUAGCAUUAAAAGUUUAUGCAUUCAAAACCUCAGCUGCUGGAUCAUCAACCCACAGUAAACUAAACCCCCCAAUUGACUACAGUAGUACAAACACCCAAGCUACAUCUGCUGCUGCAUGCGUCGCGAUCAGCUGACAGUCUCAUGGCUGGACUUUUUUCAUUCAAUUUUUUUUUCCCGCUUAAAGCUUCAGCGAGGCAAUUAUCGAGUGUUCGUGAACUAGACGUCAGUGGGACUUUUAAACUGAUGCAGAGAGCAUCAAAACACUUAGCAGUGCCAGAGUGUCGCAAGCUGAGCCAUCAUUAUGAGUUUACUCGAAGAGGAUGAGGAAAAACAAGUGGAUUCAUUACUUCAUCUGCGGAUUAAUCGGCCUCUCUACGAUCACACAACUCUGAAUCAAGAAUUUUCAUACGAAAAGCCAAAAACGUCACUCGUCAAUAAUGUUUUGACGUCCCUGAAGCCACAGUCGUGUUACUCUUGUGCAACAUCAGUGCUACCCGUUAUAGAUUGGUUGAGAAAAUAUAAAUGGAGGGAACACAUACUCUCGGACAUCAUUUCUGGGGUAACAGUAGCUAUAAUGCAUAUUCCUCAGGGUAUGGCGUAUGGACUGCUGGGAAAUCUACAGCCAGUCGUUGGAAUUUACAUGGCAUUUUUUCCUGUACUCGUUUAUUUCAUUUUUGGAACUUCCAGACAUGUCUCCAUGGGUACAUUUGCCAUUGUUUGCCUUAUGACUGGAAAGGCAGUGGCAGCUUACUCAACUCCUGAGGAUACCCUGCAUGGUGAAUUAGAUGGUAACGACACACUGCCAAUGUAUACACCGUUACAAGUGGCAACUGCUGUCACAUUUACGGUUGGAAUAAUGCAGAUCUUGAUGUUCUUUUUGCGGUUGGGAAUUAUUAGCACUUUACUCAGUGAAACACUUGUUAAUGGCUUCACAACUGGAGCAGCCAUUCACGUUCUCAUGUCACAAAUUAAGGAUCUCCUGGGAUUGAAACUACGGAAACGCAAAGCUCAUCACUUUGAGAUGAUUUACAUGACGAUAGAUAUUUUUAGUGUAAUCAGCAGUCCAAAUUAUGCAGCCAUCAUUGUAUCAGCUGUUGCCAUCGUCAUCAUGUGGUCGAAUAAUGAAUAUUUAAAGCCAUGGGUUAAAAAGAAAUGUAAUAUGCCGCUGCCGAUCGAGUUGAUUGCCGUUGUGAUGGGCUCAGUAAUAUCGAAGUACUGUGAUUUAGCAGGGCGAUACGGCAUCAAAACUGUAGGUGAAAUUCCCACGGGUUGCUGCCGACUGUCGCGGUCGAUUGCAUUGCCAUCACCAUGGUCUCCUACACAAUAACGCUUUCCAUGGCCCUGAUAUUUGCCCAAAAACUGCAGUACGAAAUUGACUCAAAUCAAGAGCUCUUUGCAAUGGUGGCAUUGAAGGGAAUGCUAAUGCAGGCAAAACAAUUGCCCAGAUUCUGGAAGCUCAGUAAACUCGAUGGAAUGGUCUGGAUUGUGACUGUACUCACUGUCGUGUUAAUUGGAAUCGAUAUCGGAUUGUUGGCUGGU